UUGAGAAACCCUGCUCUAGAGAAUAAAGUUCUCUAUUUAGCCUCAGUUCAGCUACAACGUAGGCAGUGGCAGUGCAAGCUUCCACCACACUGCCCUGUAACUCUCUCAGCCCUGACAUGGGGUGACCAACUCUGGGUGCGUGUGUGUGUGGUGGGGGGUCUCUUCAUCCUGUUCCAUUCACUCCUUGACCUUA
rnacentral:sRNA from 1 species